GAUGAACGCUGGCGGCGUGCCUAAUACAUGCAAGUCGAGCGAACAGACGCGGCGCUUGCUCCUCUCACGUUAGCCGAGGACGGGUGAGUAACGCGUGGAUACCCUCCCUAUAAGACUGGUAUCACUUCGGGACACCGGAGCUAACACCGGAUAAUCUCUUGCUCCGCAUGGUUCAAUGGUAAAAGACGGCUUUGCUGUCUCUUCUCGCUGGAUCCGCGCCGCAUUAGCUAGUUGGUAAGGUACAGGCUUAUCAAGGCUACGAUGCGUAGCCGAACUGAGAGGGUGAUCAGCCACACUGGGACUGAGACACGGUCCAGAGGCAUAGGGGAGGCGGCAGUAGGGAAACUGCAGCAAGGGGCGAAAGCUUGACGGAGCAACGCCGCGGGAGGGAGGAAGGUCGUCGGAUCGUAAAUCUCGGUUAUUAGGUAAGAACAAGUGUGUGAGUGACUAGACGCGUCUGGACGGUACCUAAGCAGAGAACCACGGCUAACUACGGU
rnacentral:rRNA from 1 species